UUUGUCUUAUAAUAAUAUUUUGAAAUUAAUUUUUUAGUUAAAAAGCUAAAAUUAAUUUUAAAGACAAGAAGACCCUAUUAAGCUUUACAAUUUUAUAUUAUUUUCAAACUAAUAAAAUAAUUGUUCUGCUGGGGCAGCAAAUAAAUAAAUAUUAUUUAUAUAUUGUGAUAAAUAAAUCUAGAAAAAUCAAUAAUUUAUUAAAUAAUAACAAGUUACUAUAGGGAUAACAGCAUAAUUUUUUUAAAGAGUUCUCAUCAACAAAAAAGUUUGUGACCUCGAUGUUGGAUU
rnacentral:rRNA from 1 species